GAUGAACGCUGGCGGCGUGCCUAAUACAUGCAAGUCGAGCGAACAGACGAGGAGCUUGCUCCUCUGACGUUAGCGGCGGACGGGUGAGUAACACGUGGAUAACCUACCUAUAAGACUGGGAUAACUUCGGGAAACCGGAUCUAAUACCGGAUAAUAUAUUGAACCGCAUGGUUCAAUAGUGAAAGACGGUUUUGCUGUCACUUAUAGAUGGAUCCGCGCCGCAUUAGCUAGUUGGUAAGGUAACGGCUUACCAAGGCAACGAUGCGUAGCCGACCUGAGAGGGUGAUCGGCCACACUGGAACUGAGACACGGUCAAGACUCCUACGGGAGGCAGCAGUAGGGAAUCUUCCGCAAUGGGCGAAAGCCUGACGGAGCAACGCCGCGUGAGUGAUGAAGGUCUUCGGAUCGUAAAACUCUGUUAUUAGGGAAGAACAAAUGUGUAAGUAACUAUGCACGUCUUGACGGUACCUAAUCAGAAAGCCACGGCUAACUACGUG
rnacentral:rRNA from 1 species